rnacentral:tRNA from 1 species
GCCCGGCGUACCUCGGUGUAUUGCCUAUAAUCCGGCUUAAAAUCCGUCGGGGAGAAAUCUCUGUACCGGUUCAAGUCCGGUCCCGGGCACCA